rfam:Aedes aegypti strain Liverpool supercont1.322 genomic scaffold, whole genome shotgun sequence.
UGCCCAGCAACUUCUGUCCCUACCUCAUCGCGGUACUGGCCGGGGUACGAGUAACCUUAGGGAAAAUUGGGUAACCAACCCCCGGUGGGAACUUUGGUCGUAUGCUGACAGGGAAGG